AAACUCAAAUGAAUUGACGGGGGCCCGCACAAGCGGUGGAGCAUGUGGUUUAAUUCGAUGCAACGCGAAGAACCUUACCUACUCUUGACAUCCAGCGAAUCCUUUAGAGAUAGAGGAGUGCCUUCGGGAACGCUGAGACAGGUGCUGCAUGGCUGUCGUCAGCUCGUGUUGUGAAAUGUUGGGUUAAGUCCCGCAACGAGCGCAACCCUUAUCCUUUGUUGCCAGCACGUGAUGGUGGGAACUCAAAGGAGACUGCCGGUGAUAAACCGGAGGAAGGUGGGGAUGACGUCAAGUCAUCAUGGCCCUUACGAGUAGGGCUACACACGUGCUACAAUGGCAGAUACAAAGAGAAGCGACCUCGCGAGAGCAAGCGGAACUCAUAAAGUCUGUCGUAGUCCGGAUUGGAGUCUGCAACUCGACUCCAUGAAGUCGGAAUCGCUAGUAAUCGUAGAUCAGAAUGCUACGGUGAAUACGUUCCCGGGCCUUGUACACACCGCCCGU
rnacentral:rRNA from 1 species